GCAAACUUGGUCAUUUAGAGGAAGUAAAAGUCGUAACAAGGUUUCCGUAGGUGAACCUGCGGAAGGAUCAUUAACGAAUUCGAACCCGGCGCCCCCCCCCGGCUGAUGCUGGCCCCACCUGGGCACGUGCACGCCUCGGGGCGCGCCCUCAAUUCGCUCUCUCCCCCCUUGUGCACUCCAUGUAGGCCGUCGGUUUGGUUCGGCGCCUACGAUUUUUUCUUGUAUGCACACCCCGAUGGCAUGUAACGAGCGUUGAGACGUUUCUUAACAAUCUUUGAAAUACAACUUUCAACAACGGAUCUCUUGGCUCUCGCAUCGAUGAAGAACGCAGC
rnacentral:misc_RNA from 1 species